AUUGAACGCUGGCGGCAGGCCUAACACAUGCAAGUCGAGCGAGCGGCGGACGGGUGAGGAAUGUAUGGGGACUGCCCGAUAGAGGGGGAUAACUACUGGAAACGGUAGCUAAUACCGCAUACUAUCGGAUAACCCAUAUGGGAUUAGCUAGAUGGUGAGGUAAUGGCUCACCUAGGCGACGAUCCCUAGCUGGUCUGAGAGGGUGAUCAGCCACACUGGGACUGAGACACGGCCCAGACUCCUACGGAGGCAGCAGUGGGGAAUAUUGCGCAAUGGGCGCAAGCCUGAUGCAGCCAUGCCGCGUGUAUGAAGAAGGCCCUAGGGUUGUAAAGUUCUUUCGUUCGGGAGGCGUUACCGACACAAGAAGCACCGGCUAACUCCGUGCCAGCAGCCGCGGUAAUAC
rnacentral:rRNA from 1 species